GACGAGCCACACAAGCGUUAUUCGGAAUUACUGGGCUUAAAGGGUGCGUAGGCGGCGCGGAAAGUUGGGUGUGAAAUCCCUCGGCUCAACCGAGGAAUGGCGCUCAAAACUACCGUGCUCGAGGGAGAUAGAGGAGUGCGGAACUUACGGUGGAGCGGUGAAAUGCGUUGAUAUCGUAGGGAACACCGGUGGCGAAAGCGGCACUCUGGAUCUCUUCUGACGCUGAUGCAAGAAAGCUAGGGUGGCGAACGGG
rnacentral:rRNA from 1 species